AGGGGUAUAGCUCAGCAGCAUGGUGCGUGCCUGACAAGCAUGAGGUUCUAAAUUUGAUUCCUAGUUCCCCCC
rnacentral:tRNA from 1 species